CUACGGGACGCUGCAGUCGAGGAUAUUUAGCAAUGGGCGAAAGCCUGACUAUGCGACGCCGCGUGAGGGAUGAAGGUUUUCGGAUCGUAAACCUCUUUCGAUGGGAAAGAAUUUAGACGGUACCUAGAGAAGAAGCCACGGCUAACUCCGUGCCAGCAGCCGCGGUAAUACGGAGGUGGCAAGCGUUACUCGGAUUUACUGGGUGUAAAGGGCAAGUAGGCGUCUUGAAAAGUUCUUGGUGAAAUCCUUCUGCUUAACGGAAGAACUGCCAGGAAAACUGCCAAGAUUGAGGCUAGGAGAGGAGAGUAGAAUUCCCGGUGUAAGGGUGAAAUCUGUAGAUAUCGGGAGGAAAACCAGUAGCGAAGGCGGCUCUCUGGCCUAGUCCUGACGCUGAGUUGCGAAAGCUAGGGGAGCAAACAGGAUUAGAUACCCGAGUAGUC
rnacentral:rRNA from 1 species